UAGGGAAUCUUCGGCAAUGGGCGCAAGCCUGAUGGAGCAACGCCGCGUGAGUGAAGAAGGUCUUCGGAUCGUAAAACUCUGUUGUUAGAGAAGAACACGAGUGAGAGUAACUGUUCAUUCGAUGACGGUAUCUAACCAGCAAGUCACGGCUAACUACGCGCCAG
rnacentral:rRNA from 1 species